ACCAAUAUAGUCCAGAGGUCAGGAUGUCGGAUUUUCAAUCCUUUGAUUGGAAAAUCUCCGAAGACCCGGGUUCAAACCCUGGUAUCGGUA